rnacentral:rRNA from 1 species
CAAGUAGGUGGUCUUAUUUGUCUAGGGUGAAAUCCUUGAGCUUAACUCAAGAAGUGCCCUAGAAACGGUGAGACUAGAGUUCUGGAGAGGGUCGUGGAAUUCCCGGUGUAGCGGUGAAAUGCGUAGAGAUCGGGAGGAACACCAGAGGCGAAGGCGGCGACCUGGACAGAUACUGACACUCAACUGCGAAAGCGUGGGGAGCAAACA